rnacentral:rRNA from 1 species
AGAGUUUGAUCAUGGCUCAGGAUGAACGCUGGCGGUCUGCUUAACACAUGCAAGUCGAACGGAGUGCUUCGGCACUUAGUGGCGGACGGGUGAGUAACGCGUGAGAAUCUGCCUUCAGGAUGGGGACAACGACUGGAAACGGUCGCUAAUACCCGAUGAGCCGAGAGGUAAAAGAAAUUCGCCUGAAGAUGAGCUCGCGUCAGAUUAGCUAGUUGGAGUGGUAACGGCACACCAAGGCGACGAUCUGUAGCUGGUCUGAGAGGAUGACCAGCCACACUGGAACUGAGACACGGUCCAGACUCCUACGGGAGGCAGCAGUGGGGAAUUUUCCGCAAUGGGCGCAAGCCUGACGGAGCAAGACCGCGUGGGGGAUGAAGGUUUGUGGAUUGUAAACCCCUUUUGACAGGGAAGAUAAUGACGGUACCUGUCGAAUCAGCAUCGGCUAACUCCGUGCCAGCAGCCGCGGUAAUAC